rnacentral:rRNA from 1 species
ACUCGUACGCGAGGCAGCAGUGGGGAAUUAUGGACAAUGGGCGCAAGCCUGAUCCAGCCAUUCCGCGUGAGUGAAGAAGGCCUUCGGGUUGUAAAGCUCUUUCGCAAGGAAGAAAACUUACCCAAUAACACUGGGUGAGGCUGACGGUAC